AAAAAGGCUUUUCCUUAACAAUUAUCUUUUCACUAUAUCUGCUUAUGUAAAAGCCACACUGAUAAACAUAGAAUAUGUGU
rfam:Amazona aestiva scaffold_263, whole genome shotgun sequence.